CCAGCAGCCGCGGUAAUACGUAGGUGGCAAGCGUUAUCCGGAAUUAUUGGGCGUAAAGCGCGCGUAGGCGGUUUUUUAAGUCUGAUGUGAAAGCCCACGGCUCAACCGUGGAGGGUCAUUGGAAACUGGAAAACUUGAGUGCAGAAGAGGAAAGUGGAAUUCCAUGUGUAGCGGUGAAAUGCGCAGAGAUAUGGAGGAACACCAGUGGCGAAGGCGACUUUCUGGUCUGUAACUGACGCUGAUGUGCGAAAGCGUGGGGAUCAAACAGGAUUAGAUACCCU
rnacentral:rRNA from 1 species